rnacentral:lncRNA from 1 species
GAGUGAAGACUUCUCAGAUUAUUUAUUUGGUGAAACGGGACCUGAAUGGUACAACCAAAAUGGAAUUUCAUCAGAAACAGCUGCCUCGUCCUCCUAUCAUGGUUUUGACACAGAUUCGGGGGCGGAGAUGGAUGGCCAUGCGCGGUCACUGACAUUUUUGUACACUGACUCAAUUAGACAGCAUUGGAAUAGUAAUGGUAGAGCCUCGGACUUUGAGCAAGGAGGCUGGUCUAACCCAUAUGAUGUAAGAUCAUCGGGUAUUUCAUAUAGAAGAGCAAGCGUCGACGGAUCGACUCAAACGUUUUAUUGAGGUUUGAGUUGACAUAAAUAUAUAAAAUAAGAUCCAUCUUUCAGUUAUUAACUUUAUGAUUAUGAUUGAGUAAAAUGAGUAAUCAUCAUUCUUUGGCUUUGCCCCAUAAAAUUACCUUCUAAACUGGGAAGCUUGCUGGGUUGCAUUGAGUAACAGUAAAUAAUCGGUCUGUAAAUCAGGCCAGUGCCUCGUAUGUACACCUGAUCACGAUUUCUUAGACGUUUUACAGACCCGUACACGAUUCUUAGAUGUUUUAGAUUUGGGCUGCCAUUUCCAUCAUAUUAUUCGCCAUGUUCUUUUUAUUUUUUGUUUCUAUCGAAUAUAUUAUGGUUAAAAUGUAUUUGAUGGAAACAAAUAUAAACAUGGCGAAUAAUAUGAUGGACAUGGCAGCCCAAAUCUAAAACAUCUAAGAAAUCAUGUAAUGAUCCUCCAUUUCAAGAACCCAGAAAAAGUAGAACAGCCAUUUCCAAUAGAGAAGACAGACCAGAUAAAAAUGAUUCGAGCCAAUUUUCCUAGAUGAAGCUGAAAAGAUGCCAGCUGGAAACCAAAUCAAUCCCGUGGAAGCCAAACCAGUGAAAAUGGGAGGAAAAAGGAGAUUCUUGACCUGAGUUGGGUUCGGGUUCUCAGUCCUGCUGUAACAGUGGUGAACGACGAUGGACCAGUGGAUGACGAUGUGGGUGAGUGGUGGAAGAACGCUGGCGAUAGAGGUGGUGAUCCGCAAGCCGCCAUGCAGUUAGGGUUUAUUUUUUUGGAAUUGAUUUGGGAAUUGAGAGUAAG